rnacentral:rRNA from 1 species
AGAGUUUGAUCCUGGCUCAGGAUGAACGCUAGCUACAGGCUUAACACAUGCAAGUCGAGGGGAAACGAUAGAGAAAGCUUGCUUUUUCUAGGCGUCGACCGGCGCACGGGUGAGUAACGCGUAUCCAACCUGCCCAUCACUUGGGGAUAACCUUGCGAAAGUAAGACUAAUACCCAAUGAUAUCUCUAGAAGACAUCUGAAGGAGAUUAAAGAUUUAUCGGUGAUGGAUGGGGAUGCGUCUGAUUAGCUUGUUGGCGGGGUAACGGCCCACCAAGGCGACGAUCAGUAGGGGUUCUGAGAGGAAGGUCCCCCACAUUGGAACUGAGACACGGUCCAAACUCCUACGGGAGGCAGCAGUGAGGAAUAUUGGUCAAUGGGCGGAAGCCUGAACCAGCCAUGCCGCGUGCGGGAAGGAGGCCCUAUGGGCUGUGAACCGCUUUUGCCUGGGGGCAAUAAGGGCGCCGUGCGCGCCCGAUGAGAGUACCAGGCGAAUAAGCAUCGGCUAACUCCGUGCCAGCAGCCGCGGUAAUACGGGGGAUGCGAGCGUUAUCCGGAUUCAUUGGGUUUAAAGGGUGCGUAGGCUGUGCGUCAAGUCGGGGGUGAAAUUCCGGUGCUCAACACCGGGGCUGCCCUUGAUACUGUCGCGCUGGAGUGCGGAUGCCGCCGGAGGAAUGAGUGGUGUAGCGGUGAAAUGCUUAGAUAUCACUCAGAACACCGAUUGCGAAGGCAUCUGGCGAAUCCGUAACUGACGCUGAGGCACGAAAGCGUGGGGAUAGAACAGGAUUAGAUACCCUGGUAUUCCACGCCGUAAACGAUGAUGGCUAACCGCCGGCGGCAUACAGUCGGUGGCCAAGCGAAAGCGAUAAGCCAUCCACCUGGGGAGUACGUCGGCAACGAUGAAACUCAAAGGAAUUGACGGGGGCCCGCACAAGCGGAGGAACAUGUGGUUUAAUUCGAUGAUACGCGAGGAACCUUACCCGGGCUUGAAUUGCAGAGGAAGGAUUUGGAGACAAUGACGCCCUUCGGGGUCUCUGUGAAGGUGCUGCAUGGUUGUCGUCAGCUCGUGCCGUGAGGUGUCGGCUUAAGUGCCAUAACGAGCGCAACCCCUCUCCUUAGUUGCCAUCAGGUGAAGCUGGGCACUCUGGGGACACUGCCACCGUAAGGUGUGAGGAAGGUGGGGAUGACGUCAAAUCAGCACGGCCCUUACGUCCGGGGCUACACACGUGUUACAAUGGCAGGUACAGAGAGAUGGUGUUCUGCAAAGCGCAUCUAAUCCUUAAAGCCUGUCUCAGUUCGGACUGGGGUCUGCAACCCGACCCCACGAAGCUGGAUUCGCUAGUAAUCGCGCAUCAGCCAUGGCGCGGUGAAUACGUUCCCGGGCCUUGUACACACCGCCCGUCAAGCCAUGAAAGCCGGGGGC